rnacentral:rRNA from 1 species
GGCGGACGGGUGAGUAACGCGUAAAGAACUUGCCCUUUAGACUGGGAUAACAGAGGGAAACUUCUGAUAAUACUGGAUAAGUUAGUAUAUCGCAUGAUAUACAAAUGAAAGCUACGGCACUAAAGGAGAGCUUUGCGUCCUAUUAGCUAGUUGGUAAGGUAAGAGCUUACCAAGGCGAUGAUAGGUAGCCGGCCUGAGAGGGUGGACGGCCACAAGGGGACUGAGAUACGGCCCUUACUCCUACGGGAGGCAGCAGUG